UGGGGAAUUUUGGACAAUGGGCGAAAGCCUGAUCCAGCAAUGCCGCGUGUGUGAAGAAGGCCUUCGGGUUGUAAAGCACUUUUGUCCGGAAAGAAAUCCUUGGCUCUAAUACAGUCGGGGGAUGACGGUACCGGAAGAAUAAGCACCGGCUAACUACGUGCCAGCAGCCGCGGUAAUACGUAGGGUGCAAGCGUUAAUCGGAAUUACUGGGCGUAAAGCGUGCGCAGGCGGUUUGCUAAGACCGAUGUGAAAUCCCCGGGCUCAACCUGGGAACUGCAUUGGUAACUGGCAGGCUAGAGUAUGGCAGAGGGGGGUAGAAUUCCACGUGUAGCAGUGAAAUGCGUAGAGAUGUGGAGGAAUACCGAUGGCGAAGGCAGCCCCCUGGGCCAAUACUGACGCUCAUGCACGAAAGCGUGGGGAGCAAACAGGAUUAGAUACCCUGGUAGUCCACGCCCUAAACGAUGUCAACUAGUUGUUGGGGAUUCAUUUCCUAGUAACGUAGCUAACGCGUGAAGUUGACCGCCUGGGGAGUACGGUCGCAAGAUUAAAACUCAAAGGAAUUGACGGGGUCAUAGCUGUUUCCU
rnacentral:rRNA from 1 species